UACGUAGGGUGCAAGCGUUAAUCGGAUUUAUUGGGCGUAAAGGGCGCGUAGGCUGAUUUUCAAGUCGAAUGUGAAAUUCCGGGGCUUAACCUCGGAGCUGCAUUCGAAACUGUAAAUCUAGAGGGUAGAAGGAGAAAACGGAAUUCCACAAGUAGCGGUGAAAUGCGUAGAUAUGUGGAAGAACACCUGUGGCGAAGGCGGUUUUCUAUUUUAUUCCUGACGCUGAGGCGUGAAAGCAAGGGGAGCAAACGGG
rnacentral:rRNA from 1 species